rnacentral:lncRNA from 1 species
UUCGUUAACAACAUGCCUUCCAUUCAUUUAAAUCUGGUACAACAGUUUAGCAACACAAAGUUUAAUACAACAAAAGCCUAAUAAAUCACAACAAAAAGUUUAAGAAAUAAUACAAAGUUCGUAAAAUAGGAAACCAAACAACAAGCAAUGAACACAACUGAACACGUUAUGACGCUACAAGCAAUCAUCCAUACACUUCCCAAGAACAUUUUCCCAUAUGUCCAUGUCUUCAAGAUAGUUCACCAAUUUGUCGACCCUUUGCACUAAGUACUACUUGUUGGUAGCUCUAGUAUAACCUGCCAAAUUGAAAAACCAGGAACAACAUUAAUAAAAGUAACACCAGAGCAUGGACUUGCUUCAUUGUAAUCAAGAAGUGUCUCUAGAAGGCAUUCAUUGUAGGGAAGUUCAGAAAUGGACUUUGCCAUGUAAAAAAAACGAAUACUAAACACAAUACUAUUACACAUCAGUACAUUGGACUUUUACAUAAAAAAAAAGAUUUGUUUAAAAUGGGGUUUUAAAAUAAAGCAAAUCAAACACUAGAUGAAUCGAUGAUGAUGAAAUUUAAUUAUAAAUAGAACUGGAGGGGGAAAGAUCCCUUUAUAACAAUUAUUUAUAUUUGUAUAAAAAUAAAAAUACUAGAUAAAUAUCUAUGAUGAUGAAAUUUCGAACUGGGGUUUAGUAGAACUAAGAUUUAAAAUCAAAAUCGACUAUGAAGAGUAACUCACCUAAAGUCUUCUUUAGACAAAAUUGAGAUCAAUAUUUGAAACUUGAGAGAGAUUACUGCUUGCUUAGUAGAAUAAAAGAUCAAAACAAUGAAGAAGAAGGAAGAGAACCAAACAGAGAUUCAAUCUUUU